rnacentral:rRNA from 1 species
UACGUAGGGGGCGAGCGUUGUCCGGAUUUACUGGGCGUAAAGCGCGUGUAGGCGGCUUCUUAAGUCGGGUGUGAAAUCCCCGGGCUCAACCCGGGAACUGCGUCCGAUACUGGCAGGCUUGAAUCCGGGAGAGGGAUGCGGAAUUCCAGGUGUAGCGGUGAAAUGCGUAGAUAUCUGGAGGAAUACCGGUGGCGAAGGCGGCAUCCUGGACCGACAUUGACGCUGAGGAGCGAAAGCUAGGGGAGCAAACGGG